GCUGCAGCUGCUGCUGGAUCUCUGUUGAUUAUAAUUGCAAUCAUGAUCUGCUGCAUCUGCAGGAAAUGUAAAGAAGCAGUUCAGACCCAGGAGAAAAACAAAACUGAUUCAGUAUUGUGUAAAACAGCAACACAGAAAAUGAAAUCAAAGAAGGAGCCUGUGUAUGCAUAUGUCACCAAAACACGAUGAUCAAAACAGAAUGUCCUAGAGAGCUCAUAUGGGCCCUGACUCACACCUUUUAGUUCAUAUUUAUUCUCUGACAUUUGUUUAUUCUCUGCUGUUUGUGCCACAUUGAUUCUUU